rnacentral:rRNA from 1 species
GACGAACGCUGGCGGCGCGCCUAACACAUGCAAGUCGAACGAGCAAAGAGGAGCUUGCUUCUCUGAGCGAGUGGUGAACGGGUGAGUAACGCGUGAGGAACCUGCCUCACACAGGGGGAUAACAGUUGGAAACGGCUGCUAAUACCGCAUAAGCGCACAGUACCGCAUGGUACAGUGUGAAAAACUCCGGUGGUGUGAGAUGGACCCGCGUCUGAUUAGCUAGUUGGCAGGGCAACGGCCUACCAAGGCGACGAUCAGUAGCCGACCUGAGAGGGUGACCGGCCACAUUGGGACUGAGACACGGCCAAACUCCUAACGGGGAGGGCAGCAGUGGGGAAUAUUGGCACAAUGGGGGGAAACCCUGAUG